rnacentral:rRNA from 1 species
UUCGCCCUUAGAGUUUGAUCCUGGCUCAGGACGAACGCUGGCGGCGUGCCUAACACAUGCAAGUCGAGCGGAGACAACGGAGAGCUUGCUCAAAGUUGUUUUAGCGGCGGACGGGUGAGUAACGCGUGAGCAAUCUGUCCUGUACAGGGGGAUAACAACUGGAAACAGUUGCUAAUACCGCAUGAGACCACAACGUCGCAUGGCAAAGGGGUCAAAGGAGAGAUCCGGUAUAGGGUGAGCUCGCGUCCGAUUAGCUGGUUGGUGAGGUAACGGCCCACCAAAGCGACGAUCGGUAGCCGACCUGAGAGGGUGAUCGGCCACAUUGGAACUGAGACACGGUCCAAACUCCUACGGGAGGCAGCAGUGGGGAAUAUUGGGCAAUGGGCGAAAGCCUGACCCAGCAACGCCGCGUGAGGGAAGAAGGUUUUCGGAUUGUAAACCUCUGUCCUUGGUGACGAAGGAAGUGACGGUAGCCAAGGAGGAAGCCCCGGCUAACUACGUGCCAGCAGCCGCGGUAAUACGUAGGGGGCGAGCGUUGUCCGGAAUGACUGGGCGUAAAGGGCGCGUAGGCGGCCUGUUAAGUUAGAGGUGAAAGUCCUGCUUUCAAGGUGGGAAUUGCCUUUAAUACUGAUGGGCUUGAGUGCGGAAGAGGUAAGUGGAAUUCCCAGUGUAGCGGUGAAAUGCGUAGAGAUUGGGAGGAACACCAGUGGCGAAGGCGACUUACUGGGCCGUAACUGACGCUGAGGCGCGAAAGCGUGGGGAGCGAACAGGAUUAGAUACCCUGGUAGUCCACGCGGUAAACGAUGAAUGCUAGGUGUAGGGGGUAUCGACCCCUCCUGUGCCGGAGUAAACACAAUAAGCAUUCCGCCUGGGGAGUACGGCCGCAAGGUUGAAACUCAAAGGAAUUGACGGGGGCCCGCACAAGCAGCGGAGCAUGUGGUUUAAUUCGACGCAACGCGAAAAACCUUACCAGUACUUGACAUCCCUUGACCACUUAAGAGAUUAAGUCUUCUAGCAAUAGACAAGGAGACAGGUGGUGCAUGGUUGUCGUCAGCUCGUGUCGUGAGAUGUUCGGUUAAGUCCGACAACGAGCGCAACCCCUAUGUACAGUUGCCAAUAUUAAGUUAGGAACUCUGUACAGACUGCCGUGGAUAACGCGGAGGAAGGUGGGGACGACGUCAAAUCAUCACGCCCCUUACGUUCUGGGCUACACACGUGCUACAAUGGCUAUUACAAAGAGCUGCAAAACAGUAAUGUCGAGCGAAUCUCAAAAAGAUAGUCUCAGUUCAGAUUGUGGGCUGCAACCCGCCCACAUGAAGUCGGAGUUGCUAGUAAUCCCGAAUCAGCAUGUCGGGGUGAAUGCGUUCCCGGGUCUUGUACACACCGCCCGUCA